rnacentral:rRNA from 1 species
CAAGGGGGUCAUCCCGACUUACCAACCCGAUGCAAACUGCGAAUACCGGAGAAUGUUAUCACGGGAGACACACGGCGGGUGCUAACGUCCGUCGUGAAGAGGGAAACAACCCAGACCGCCAGCUAAGGUCCCAAAGUCAUGGUUAAGUGGGAAACGAUGUGGGAAGGCCCAGACAGCCAGGAUGUUGGCUUAGAAGCAGCCAUCAUUUAAAGAAAGCGUAAUAGCUCACUGGUCGAGUCGGCCUGCGCGGAAGAUGUAACGGGGCUAAACCAUGCAC